AUACGGAGGGUGCAAGCGUUACUCGGAAUCACUGGGCGUAAAGCGCGCGCAGGCGGGCUGAUAAGUUGGAUGUGAAAGCCUACGGCUCAACCGUAGAACUGCAUCCAAAACUGUCAGUCUAGAGUCUGGGAGGGGAAGAUGGAAUUAGUUGUGUAGGGGUAAAAUCCGUAGAGAUAACUAGGAAUACCAAAAGCGAAGGCAAUCUUCUGGAACACUACUGACGCUGAGGCGCGAAAGCGUGGGGAGCAAACAGGAUUAGAAACCCCAGUAGUCC
rnacentral:rRNA from 1 species